rnacentral:rRNA from 1 species
CAGGACGAACGCUGGCGGCGUGCCUAACACAUGCAAGUCGAGCGGGGACAUGCGACGGAGUCAAAGUUUCGGAUGGAGACAAAGAUGUAUGUUCUAGCGGCGGACGGGUGAGUAACGCGUGAGCAACCUGUCCCUUACAGGGGGAUAACACAGCGAAAGUUGUACUAAUACCGCAUAAGACCACGGGAGGACAUCCUUCAGGGGUCAAAGGAGCAAUCCGGUAAGGGGUGGGCUCGCGUCCGAUUAGAUAGUUGGUGAGGUAACGGCCCACCAAGUCGACGAUCGGUAGCCGACCUGAGAGGGUGAUCGGCCACAUUGGGACUGAGACACGGCCCAAACUCCUACGGGAGGCAGCAGUGGGGAAUAUUGGGCAAUGGGGGGAAACCCCUGACCCAGCAACGCCGCGUGAGGGAAGAAGGUUUUCGGAUCGUAAACCUCUGUCCUUGGUGAAGAGGAAGAGACGGUAGCCAAGGAGGAAGCCCCGGCUAACUACGUGCCAGCCGCAGC